GCUGUGCAAGGUACAAGCAAAGACCAUUAGGAGGAAAAAAAGGCGAGAGAGGACAGGGAGGGGUGAGGAAACACAAGGAAACAUGAGUUGAAUUCUUUCCACAAGCUGCAGUGCGCAGGAUUUGGUACGUCUGACGUCUUUUACCUCAGGAGCCUCAGCAGGAAGCAGGGAAACAGGGAAAGGAGAUUUCCAUCUACAGUAACGGUGACUCAGCCCGAGCGAGGCCUUGAACUUGGACGCAGUCGUUCCAAAUGGUUAAUGGCAACGUCUGAGCAGGACCCAAAUCCCCCCACCCCCAAACUGGCCCAAGCCCACACAUGGCCCCGAGACAGAAUGAGAACCAGAAGGGAGAUUAUCAUCUACACCUUCAACAUGUGACGGAUUUAACAUGAGAGGCGAGGAGACCGCAGAGAGAGACGGUGAACUCAGAUACCCUCGCCUUGCAACAACAGCCGUUUUCUUGUCGCAGCUCCUAUGAGCUGUGUUACAGGGAGCAGAAAAAAAAGAGGAGGAUGGAGGACAAGGGAGAGCAGGGAAAAAUUCCAAAAAGAUUUAUUCCUUUCUCGUUUUCUCUCCGUGUCACUCUCCCGCUCUGUCUUGUUCCCCUGCUCCUAAAUUUGACUAUUAAACAGCACUGCAAAAACAGAAUGUUCUUGGCUGGAGCUCAACAAUGACAAAGUGGGGAGGGGAAAAUGGCCAUACAUUCAGCAGAAAAUAUCAUCUAUUUUCAGUAUACUUAGCCAUGACUAAUGUACAAGUUAGGGCCUUGAAACAUGAAAGUCUUAAAAAAUGUAAAAGAAAGGCCCUGAUGGGGACUUUUUUCAUUUAAAAAUGUCUAAACUAUGAGACAUAAAGGGCAGAGGUUUAACACUGUAAAAUGGGAUCUUUAACGUUUGCUAAUUCUGUAUAUUAAUAACAUCAUAAUCACUGUUUUUAUACUCUUCCCCAUCACCUACAAACUUUUGAUGUAGCUGAGUAUUUGUUUUACGUUUGUUUCUGAUGUUUCAAUCCUUGCCUUAAUUUAAAUUUAGAGAAAGCUUUAAAAAUUAACUUUUGUUAGCUUAAAUUGGACAACUUUCACCCAUAUUUAGACACGAUAGGGAUAUUUGAAUCCCAGAGAAACAUGAAGGCAAAAUUAAAUGUUCUCAGGCCAAAUAAAAAACUCUGGUAACAUUUAUUUUCUAAAAAAUGGUUGGGUUUCAACUAAAUAUGAUUGGGUUUCAAAUCAAUUAUUUCUUUAUGUGACAUUUUUUCCUGCACUGAAAAGGAAUGCAAAUGAAUUUAAAUAAAAGGCUGGACUUGCUCCUAAAAUGAAUGAGCAAUUUAUUUAAGGCUUUUCACCAAUAAUGUCUUCCUUUUUACAAAAUAAAGAAAUAAAAUUAAAAAAGCAA